rnacentral:lncRNA from 1 species
AUUGAGAAGGGAACUUAUCGUGAGUAGCCAUAAAACAAUCGAUGGCCGUGGAAGAUACGUUCACAUAACAAAUGGAGCUGGCAUUAAGAUACAAUGUGCAUCCAAUGUCAUCAUCUCUAACCUCCGUAUUAAAAAUAUUGUACCUACCCCAGGUGGCCUGCUUAGGGAAUCCGAUGACCACCUUGGCCUAAGGAGCGGAGAUGAAGGUAAUGUUAAACUGCCCAUCACAUCUAAAAAUUUAAAGUAUCUCCAAUUAUUAAAUAAUGUCAUAUAGCACAUUUUUUAAUUAUUUAAUUAUAUUAUGUUUUUAACAGGUGAUGCCAUCAGUAUCUUCAACUCUCAUGACAUAUGGAUUGACCAUAUCUCUAUGUCCCAUGCUGCCGAUGGUCUUAUCGACGCUGUUGCUGGUUCUACUAAUAUUACCAUAUCCAAUUGCCACUUCACUGACCAUGAAAAAGUAAUGUUGUUCGGUGCUAACGAUCAUUACGAAGCUGACAAGGACAUGAAGAUUACAUUAGCGUACAACCAUUUCGGAAAGAGGUUGGAUCAAAGGAUGCCUAGGUGCAGGUUUGGAUUUUUCCAUCUGGU